CUUUUCCUUCAGCCCAGUCCAGAAUGAACUUCUGCACAGAGACUGUUUUUCCAAUUCCAGCAACUCCUUUA